CUCCUACGGGGGGCAGCAGUGGGGAAUAUUGCACAAUGGGGGAAACCCUGAUGCAGCAACGCCGCGUGAGUGAAGAAGUAUUUCGGUAUGUAAAGCUCUAUCAGCAGGGAAGAAGAAAGACGGUACCUGACUAAGAAGCCCCGGCUAACUACGUGCCAGCAGCCGCGGUAAUACGUAGGGGGCAAGCGUUAUCCGGAUUUACUGGGUGUAAAGGGAGCGUAGACGGCAUAGCAAGUCUGAAGUGAAAGCCCGUGGC
rnacentral:rRNA from 1 species